AGGAUAAACGCUGGCGGCGUGCCUAACACAUGCAAGUCGAACGUCUCUUCUUUCGGGAAGAGGAGUGGCGGACGGGUGAGGAACACGUGGGAACCUGCCCUACAGUGAGGAAUACCGGCGAGAAAUCGCCGACAAGACCGCAUAGCCCUCUCUGGUGAGAGCCAGAGAAGGAAAGCUUCGCAAGAGGCGCUGGAGGAGGGGCCUGCGUCCGAUUAGCUAGUUGGUGGGGUAAGAGCCUACCAAGGCGUCGAUCGGUAGCUGGUCUGAGAGGACGAUCAGCCACACUGGGAUUGAGAACGGCCCAGACUCCUACGGGGGCAGCAGUGAGGAAUUUUCGGCAAUGGGGGAAACCCUGACCGAGCAACGCCGCGUGCAGGAAGACGGCCUUCGGUUGUAAACUGCUUUUCUUGGACGAGCAAGGACGGUACCAGAGGAAUCAGCCCGGCUCACUACGUGCCAGCAGCCGC
rnacentral:rRNA from 1 species